UCAGGAAACGUCAUCAGAAGUGUCCACUUAAUUUGAGGGCUGAGGGGAUAGGGUGUGUCUUUUAAGUGUUUGGAAUGUAACCCUGCACUUUUUGGUACUCGUAGUCUGUCCGUUAGGGGGUGCUGGCUCGCGCGUCACAAUUUCACAUACAGAACUAGCAUACACACAGCACGCAACAAAAGCUAGGCUAUCGAUAUACUACCCUGUGUCUCUUUCCCGUCGAGACAGCUUAGGAAAUUGGCAAUAUAGCUUAGCCAGCUGUUAUUUAUCGUUUAAUAGAGAUGUCGACCACGACCGGCGGUGGAGAAUUUGGCAACCCCCUGCGGAAAUUCAAGCUCGUAUUCUUAGGCGAACAAAGUGUGGGAAAGACAUCGCUUAUCACCAGGUUUAUGUAUGACAGCUUUGACAACACAUAUCAGGCAACAAUUGGCAUAGACUUUUUAUCGAAAACGAUGUAUCUGGAAGAUCGUACAAUUCGGCUCCAGCUGUGGGAUACAGCCGGGCAGGAGCGGUUCCGCAGUCUCAUCCCCAGCUACAUCAGAGACUCAGCCGCUGCUGUGGUGGUUUAUGACAUAGCAAACCUCAAUUCAUUCCAGCAAACCUCUAAGUGGAUUGAUGAUGUCAGAACAGAGAGAGGAAGUGAUGUCAUUAUCAUGCUUGUGGGAAACAAAACAGACCUGGCUGAUAAAAGACAAGUGUCUGUUGAGACUGCAGAAAGGAAAGCUCGUGAACUCAAUGUGAUGUACAUAGAGACCAGUGCCAAGGCUGGCUAUAACGUCAAACAGGUGGGUGUCCAGUUACCACCAGCAGGUGUUCAAACGGCCUCCAGAACUGCUCAUUAUGCUCCCCCUUAGGGAGAGUAAUUUGUCAUGUACUACGUGGAUUAGAUGUUUAAUGUGGACCAAGUGACUGUGCUGUGAGUGACUUUGGAUUCCCUCUAUAGCGUGUCAAGCUGUUUCAUCUUUUCUCAGCAAAGCUGCUCCCUCCUAUCCGUUUGUCUCUCAGAGGCAUGACCAAACUAACCCUCUCUUUUUCUAACCAAAAACUCUGAGCUCUUCGUUUUCUCUCCAUCUCCCCCUUUCCCUCUCGGCCUGUCCUCUUUCAUGUCUGUCUAUCCCUCCAUCUCUCCACCUCUCGGCUGUGGCCUGAGCAGACAGAUCACCACGGAAGAGGGCGAGCAGAGAGCUAAGGAACUGAAUGUCAUGUUCAUUGAAACCAGCGCAAAGACUGGCUACAAUGUCAAACAGCUGUUUCGCCGUGUUGCCGCAGCCCUACCUGGGAUGGAUAGCACACCAGAGAAGAGCAAAGAGGACAUGAUCGAUAUCAAACUGGAGAAGCCGCCGGAGAUGGCUGUGACAGAGAGCAGCUGCUCCUGCUAGUAAACACCUAAACCCCCACCUGACCUGCCUCCUCCCCACCAACAGCUUGUGUCUCAGUAGCCACUCUCCCCACCCAUGGCUCACUGCCAUCGGCUGCAGAACCUCUUUCGACUCAGUGAUUUUUCAGAGUAACUGUGAGGAUGUGCUAUUACUCUGUAUUUAAACAGAUCUAAAGAUAAUAUUAAAGGUAAAAAGUAAAACUGUCAACACAGAAUAGGUUAAAUGCUGAAUAUGAUCAGAUUGUCAUCCAACUGCAUGGCAUUAUCUAGGAUUGCAGACUGACAACUAAAUGCUCCUGGGUUAUUGCACUUUUUGGAGCAUUAGUGCCAUCACACUUGACAUUGUUGUAAAGUGAUAUUGUUUGAGAUUAUUUAAGUGACUAUGAAAGGUCUGUCCCUUUUUAGUUCUUUGGUUUUAUUUCCAAUGGAGAGUCUGGAGUGGGUCAGCUACAGUAUUCUAUAUAUGUGAUCAACAAGGUGUCUGUUACUGAUUCCCAUAAUUCUUUAAAUACUUUGUUGCAAAAAGAUUCCCCUCAACUUGAUGAACAUUAUUUUGAAUCAUUGUUGGCUCAAAUCUAUUAAUUUAAGCCUAAUGAAUAAGGGAUAUUUUUAAGGGCAAGAACAGCCAAAUAACUUCAUUUAGGAUUACUGUAGUUUAGUCGACUGAAGAUUUCAAUGGCGGCUGGUUUGUUAAUUUGGCAGGUUGUCCAAGGGGAUGCUUCAGAAAGUAUGUGUAGCCAAUGCGAUAGGAAACAAGGGUAUACAUUUUUAGAAAGGGGACAUAAUCCCAAAUUCAUUGUACUGGAAAAUACUAACUUAAAUCUACUGAUGUACACUUCAAAACUAUGGCUGCUCUGUCAGAGAAACGUUCCUCAGUCAUCUACAUGCAUACAAACAUCUUGUGUCUGAGGAGAAAAGGUGAUUUAAAGUCCAUGUGUGGGGCUAUGGAGUGAGCAGGUGUCAACCCUUUUACACACUAAAUGGAAACAUGUCACUUGGCCCAUACAAUGUUUCCUACUCACCCUCCAAUUGAUAUAUGUAUUGUCUUGUUUUCAUCACACUUGCAGGAACAGCGUGCUCAUCAUGCAUGAUUUAUAGAUGGUUAAGAACACAGAUGCCUUGCUUGUUUGUUCACCAACGGUGUGCACUGAAUCGAGUCCCAAUAUUGUAAAGAUCGAGAGGCCUGCUGACGGGCCUCUGGCUUCAGUAGUUGUUUUGUAGAGCAGUUUAGAUACAGCUAACGCUUCCUAACACCCUUGCUGUAAAAAAACAAGUGCAGUGAAGAUAAUUUGUAUCGCUAUUGCCUGUGUAUGACUGUUGUUUUUAAUUUAUUUAACACAAGCAACUGUAAAAUCGCAUUGAAUGCUUGACAAAAAUUAGAGUUGCUGGCACGCACGUGGAAGUUAGUGUUUUAUUUAUUUCCGUGUCUCUGCUUGGAUGCUGAAUUUCAAAGCAAAAGCCAGGCCUGGAUGUUUCGUCUCAAGUCACCACGGUCACACUGAUGAUGUUGACUCCCUGCAGUGUGUAUAGUCAGUGGAUUGGUUUAGGUACAGAAAAGGCUUCUCUUCACCCCUGUCCUUUACCGCGUACACACGGUGGCAUACACAAACCAAAUAACCACAGUCAAAAAUGGCCCAACCCCACAACCACACACACCAAUAGCUGUAGAUUGUUUGAAAAUGUCAUCAUUUUAAAAUGUUUAAACAAAUGUAGAUAAGUAUUUAAUUACAUCGAACAACCUUUAGCUUAAUAGCUAAAUCUAUUACCUGUCGCUGACUGAAUACUCAGCUCUGUGCUUUUCUGAAGUGUCUGUCCAGUUGAAAUAUGUCUACUAGUGUUUAGCAAUGUUUCUGUGAAUAAUAAUGUACUGUUAGUAUUACUCUGCUGUAAACAAAAAGGAUAGUUAAAGAACACAAGUGUAUCACAUGAAGUAAAGGUAUUUCACCAAAAUUG